AGAUUGAACGCUGGCGGCAUGCUUUACACAUGCAAGUCGAACGGUAACAGGCCGCAAGGUGCUGACGAGUGGCGAACGGGUGAGUAAUGCAUCGGAACGUGCCCAGUCGUGGGGGGAUAACGCAGCGAAAGCUGUGCUAAUACCGCAUACGAUCUAUGGAUGAAAGCGGGGGACCGAAAGGCCUCGCGCGAUUGGAGCGGCCGAUGUCAGAUUAGCUAGUUGGUGGGUAAAGGCCCACCAAGGCGACGAUCUGUAGCUGGUCUGAGAGGACGACCAGCCACACUGGAACUGAGACACGGUCCAGACUCCUACGGGAGGCAGCAGUGGGGAAUUUUGGACAAGUGGCGCAAGCCUGAUCCAGCAAUGCCGCGUGACAGGAAGAAAGGCCUUACGGGUUAGUAAACGUAGUACUUUUGUAACGGUAACGAAACGGUACCGUAGGGUUAAUACCUCGGUACGUAAUGAACGUAACCGUAAAGUAAGAAGACAACCGGUACUAACUACGU
rnacentral:rRNA from 1 species